rnacentral:tRNA from 1 species
GCCCUGAUAGCUCAGAUGGCAGAGCGCAUCCUUGGUAAGGAUGAGGUCACCGGUUCAAUCCCGGUUCAGGGCUCCA